GACGAACGCUGGCGGCGUGCUUAACACAUGCAAGUCGAGCGGUAAGGCCCUUUCGGGGGUAUACGAGCGGCGAACGGGUGAGUAACACGUGGGUGACCUGCCCUCAGCUCUGGGAUAAGCCUGGGAAACCGGGUCUAAUACCGGAUAUGACUCCAUGACGCAUGUUGUGGGGUGGAAAGCCUUGUGCGGCUGAGGAUGGGCCCGCGGCCUAUCAGCUUGUUGGUGGGGUGAUGGCCUGCCAAGGCGACGACGGGUAGCCGGCCUGAGAGGGCGACCGGCCACACUGGGACUGAGACACGGCCCAGACUCCUACGGGAGGCAGCAGUGGGGAAUCUUGCGCAAUGGGCGAAAGCCUGACGCAGCGACGCCGCGUGAGGGAUGACGGCCUG
rnacentral:rRNA from 1 species